GACGAACGCUGGCGGCGUGCUUAACACAUGCAAGUCGAACGGAAAGGCCCUGCUUUUGUGGGGUGCUCGAGUGGCGAACGGGUGAGUAACACGUGAGUAACCUGCCCUUGACUUUGGGAUAACUUCAGGAAACUGGGGCUAAUACCGGAUAGGAGCUCCUGCUGCAUGGUGGGGGUUGGAAAGUUUCGGCGGUUGGGGAUGGACUCGCGGCUUAUCAGCUUGUUGGUGGGGUAGUGGCUUACCAAGGCUUUGACGGGUAGCCGGCCUGAGAGGGUGACCGGCCACAUUGGGACUGAGAUACGGCCCAGACUCCUACGUGAGGCAGCAGUGGGGAAUAUUCCACAAUGGGCGGAAGCCUGAUGCAGCAACGCCGCGUGCGGGAUGACGGCCUUCGGGUUGUAAACCGCUUUCGCCUGUGACGAAGCGUGAGUGACGGUAAUGGGUAAAGAAGCACCGGCUAACUACGUG
rnacentral:rRNA from 1 species